GACGAACGCUGGCGGCGUGCUUAACACAUGCAAGUCGAACGGAAAGGCCCUGCUUUUGUGGGGUGCUCGAGUGGCGAACGGGUGAGUAACACGUGAGUAACCUGCCCUUGACUUUGGGAUAACUUCAGGAAACUGGGGCUAAUACCGGAUAGGAGCUCCUGCUGCAUGGUGGGGGUUGGAAAGUUUCGGCGGUUGGGGAUGGACUCGCGGCUUAUCAGCUUGUUGGUGGGGUAGUGGCUUACCAAGGCUUUGACGGGUAGCCGGCCUGAGAGGGUGACCGGCCACAUUGGGACUGAGAUACGGCCCAGACUCCUCCGGGAGGCAGAAGUGGGGAAUAUUGCACAAUGGGCGGAAGCCUGAUGCAGCAACGCCGCGUGCGGGAUGACGGCCUUCGGGUUGUAAACCGCUUUCGCCUGUGACGAAGCGUGAGUGACGGUAAUGGGUAAAGAAGCACCGGCUAACUACGUG
rnacentral:rRNA from 1 species